UUUCUAUUUAUGUUUAUGAUUAGUAUUAUUAUUAUUAAGCUAACCAGUGCAGGUUUAAUUGGAGAUUUGGGAUAAUAAAAGAAAUAAUAGAACUUCCGGCGUAGUCAAGCAAGCAUAGGCGAUUCAGACCAAGGUCAAUGUAUUAAAGGGGCUUAAGCCCAAUUAUCUUAGUAAAUGGGCUUGAGGCCCUAGGGCUUAUUUACAUGCUUAUAAAUAGAGACUUAGGAGUGGGUUAGAGGAGGAUCAUCUGAUUAUUCAUUCAUCUUUUGUAAAAUGUAAUACUCUCUCGAUUAUAGUGGAAAACCACCAAAACCCCGUGGACGUAGGUCUUCUGGACCGAACCACGUAAAUCCGUGUCAUUUACUGCUUUUUAGUUUAGGUGUUGGUUUAUCGUUUCUCCAACUGGCGCCGUCUGUGGGAAAGGAUCGGAGCUAUGUCGUGAGUUCCGACGAGCUUACAAAAAAAAAAUUGGAGAUUCACUGUUCAUCACCGAUUACUGUUCAUCGGAGAGAAAUUGGGGAAAUUAGGGACGUGGGUUACUGUUCAUUGAGGCUAGAUUACUGUUCAUCCGAAAUAAUUGAAAAAUGGGAGCAAGCUUUCUCACUUUUCUGGGCAAAAAAUUUCCGGCGAGAUUCCUCCUUUUCCUUCCGAUUGGGAUUUUAUGUGCUUCUAUUUUUCCGAUUUCCGGCGACAAUGGUCGUCUAUCUCUCUUCUCCAUAAUUCUCCGGCAGCCGUUGCCACCUCAGGACUCCAGCGUAUGCCGCCGCCGGGCACAGAUCCAGCCUUCUUCAUCCUAAUUCCAGAUCGAAGUCAGCCUCCCUCUAUCUGGGUCAGCCAGCUUCGGGACACCUCAUCUGAGUUAGCGAUUGGCGCCUCUUCGCCGCCCUCAACCCUCUCUGCUUGAGGCCAGAUUCGGUGCUAUAGCCGUUGGCCCCUGGAUCUGAGCAUCCGGCGGCGGAGAUCCGCCUCCACUACUAACGAUUGCCGCAAAUCUGAAUUCCGACGCAGUUCUAGGGAGAAGCUCCCGCAGCCAUGACCCUUUCUUUAUUUUUCUCAUUUAACGUUUUAUCUCUACUGAUUAAUUAUUCUCAUUCUCGUAGAAAUCCAGAAGCACCAAAUCAUGCAACAUCUAUCUCCAAAUCACCUCCGCAGCUGAUGAAUUAUCAUUCCUCCGCAGUCGCGCGAAGCUCGAUCUAACCUCUUCAGUCACGCCAUUCUCUCAUCUCUCACGAUGUAGUCGCAGAUCAAAAGCCACGACCGAUAGCCGCCUUGCGGUUGGGGAAUAAAGCCUUACAGAGAUCGAGGGGAGAGAGACAUGGAUGGAAUACGUUGAGGGGAAAUCUAACGCCUGCAGCCUAGCAACACAAGUCUGGAGAUAAAUCUUUGCUGUUGAACCCAUGACUGAUCUGCGGGUGGUGUAAUCAUACCGGAGCAGCGACAACCGAAAGGAGCAGAUGCAGUUUAAUUCAAUCUAAUAGGGAAGACUUCCAUUUAUGACAGCACAUCUCAAUCAAUUUGAUGGAGGGCUUAUUUCUUUCAAUCAUUUUAUUCAUGUUGCUUACAGUCUCUUUGAUUUCGCUUGAUUUCCUAAAGGAAUUACAUAUCGAACGAUUGUAGCCCGGCAAAGUACUCAGAAGGCGACGCUGAUAUAGGGACGCUCUGUGAAGUGAGGCAGUGGUUGCUGCAUUUGUUUAUUUCCACUUGGAGGGGAUUCAUCACGAACAGAGUUUGGUUCUUGAAGAAUUUUGGGGAUAAGUGCUGGAAGCGGGGUCGAGGAAUUAGAAAGGCAGCAACCCAGCACCGACUGGAGCCCAGCUACCGCUGGAACUGGAGCUGGAGCCCAUCAACCGCUGAGAUGCUUGAUACUCAAAGCACCAAUGCUCGUUGGUUUCGAGCGAGCGCUGGAUAGAAGAGAGGUGAAAGAAUCCACACAAAUCUCGUGUGAUGAGAUAAUUCAAUCAGUAUCACCGGAUGUUCUUGGCGGGUCAGGUACAAUGGAAAGCACUAUUCUUUCAUUGUUUUUGGCGGGUUUGGUACAACGAGAAGUACAGUCUCGAGAGAAUUUUUAGCAGCAUAUUUCACUUGGUGUUUAACACGACUUUUUUGGAUAUAUCCCAAAUUAUAUCUCCAGUAUGCACAAAUUAUUGAUGGAUUAUUAUUAUAGAUUUAUUAUAUUAUCUUUAUUGGAGUUCUAUUCAAGAUAUAACUCUUAUAGGGUUCACCUAUUUAAGGAGAAGGAGGCGAACAUUUUUGGUUGUUGCUUUCAUUGUUAUUCUCCUAAUUUGGCAAAA